GGCAGACUCUCUUCUCUCCAGCCCACUCGGGUGCGGCCCCUUAUAAAAACCCACAGGAAGUCAAUGAACAUAAUUAAUGAACAACAGUGAAGGCACAGCGGUAGAUAAGGAAAAUACGACAGAACAAAACGUUUCUGGAAAGAAGUUUCUGCAUGCUUACCGAUGUUGUCCUUUGGAAACCUGCUGCUCCAUCUCCUGCUGCUGGUGACGAUCGUCCAAGCACAAGCUCCCGCAAAAAACGAGCAUGGCAGCACUUUGACUGUGGUGUUCCUUAUUCUCCUACUCAUUUUUCUCAGUCUCACCCUUAUCCUGGCAUGGAAGAGACUGAUCAACAUGGAAGGUGGAGAAGGCUACCACCCACAGAAGUUGUGGAGCAGGGCAAGGAUGAUGAUCCAAGUUGUGAUACAAGAUGUGAGGAGACACUGUAAUGACGAAGGAGAUGAAAAGAGCAUUUCUGAAGGGAAAGGUCAAGAGGUGGAAAAUAAAGAAGAAUGUCAGCUGCGAGAUGAAGGCUCUGAUAUUACUGCACUAUGAGUGCAUCUCUGCAGGGCAAUAUUACAUUUUAUAUUCUCAUUGUAAUAAAAGUGAUAUAUUAACAAGUCUGCAUGUUUUAGGAUUGGAUAUGUUAUAGCAGCUUAUUUUUUAAAGAUGGACACAUUUUUCUUCAGCUACACCUGCCAGGCAGCAUCAUUUUGCAGGAACUACUCAAUAGCAUAGCAACAUAAAUGUACCUCCAAAAGCUAAUGUAAAUGUGUAAAUGUCAAACAACUGAAAAGUCAGCAUGUAAGAUGCAAAUUUGCUUAUAUUAAUCACUCUCUACCUUCCAUGUUUUAUAAUCAUAGACUAAAAACAAAUUUUUCUUAUUGGGCCAUUCAUUUUCAGACAGUAAAUUUAUUUUCCUGCACUUUCCUUUUGGAUUAAAUGAGUACUUUUAAAAAUUAA